GGGGGUGUAGCUUAGGGGUAAAGCAUAUGCUUAGCAUGUGCAAGGCUCUGGGUUCAAUUCCCAACACCACAU
rnacentral:tRNA from 1 species